UACGAAGGGGGCUAGCGUUGCUCGGAAUCACUGGGCGUAAAGCGCACGUAGGCGGAUUGUUAAGUCAGGGGUGAAAUCCUGGAGCUCAACUCCAGAACUGCCUUUGAUACUGGCGAUCUUGAGUCCGGGAGAGGUGAGUGGAACUGGCGAGUGUAGAGGUGAAAUUCGUAGAUAUUCGCAAGAACACCAGUGGCGAAGGCGGACUCACUGGCCCG
rnacentral:rRNA from 1 species